rnacentral:rRNA from 1 species
AACGAACGCUGGUGGCAGGCUUAACACAUGCAAGUCGAACGCCCCGCCAGGGGAGUGGCAGACGGGUGAGUAACGCGUGGGAACAUACCCUUUUCUACGGAAUAGCUCUGGGAAACUGGAAUUAAUACCGUAUACGCCCUACGGGGGAAAGAUUUAUCGGGGAAGGAUUGGCCCGCGUUGGAUUAGCUAGUUGGUGGGGUAAAGGCCUACCAAGGCGACGAUCCAUAGCUGGUCUGAGAGGAUGAUCAGCCACAUUGGGACUGAGACACGGCCCAAACUCCUACGGGAGGCAGCAGUGGGGAAUAUUGGACAAUGGGCGCAAGCCGGAUCCAGCCAUGCCGCGUGAGUGAUGAAGGCCUUAGGGUUGUAAAGCUCUUUCACCGAUGAAGAUAAUGACGGUAGUCGGAGAAGAAGCCCCGGCUAACUUCGU